GUACACACCGCCCGUCGCUACUACCGAUUGAAUGGCUCAGUGAGGCGUUCGGACUGGCUCGGAGAGGUUGGCAACGACCACUCCGAGCCGGAAAGUUCGUCAAACUCGGUCAUUUAGAGGAAGUAAAAGUCGUAACAAGGUUUCCGUAGGUGAACCUGCGGAAGGAUCAUUAC
rnacentral:rRNA from 1 species